UUGAAUUUAAAUUUUGUGGCUUUUAAAGCCACUACUUAUGUAAAAUUCAAAAGGCUAUGCAUCUCAUGGAUGUAUAUUUUAACAUGGGGCAUUCUGUCUUUUUGGGGGAGAUGAACUUGAAAAGUUGCAUGAUAUUUGUAUGUAUAUAUGCAUUAUAUAUACAGAUCGGAUGUCUAUGCUUUAUAAGAUAAGUUUUCUAAAGUCAAGUGGCUUGAAGGUGAUAACAGGUAUCCUGCAGAUUAUUAUGUUGUAGGUUAGCUGUAUAGCUUUUAGAGUUACAUUUUAAUUAAAAUUUGAAACGCUAUACAUUCAUAUUUAGAUUUUAACAAGGGCAGGGAUGGGCAGGGUAUUCAUGGCUCUAGAUCUUACCUUUUAAUUAAAAUUUGUUCAUUCUGUCUUUUUUGGGGUUCCUAGCUUAAAAAAGCUACAUUUUGUUAUCUACACAUACAUAUAUUUGUAUUUGUGUGGGUGAGUGGGAGCAUGGAUGGGUGUGGUUGUGGGCAUGUGUGUGUCACGGCAAAAGGUUCACUGAUUCAUGACACCUUAGAGAUACAUGCUUAUGCAUUUUUUUUUUUUGUUACAUCGGCGACUCACACACAACGGGUGUGGGUGCAGCCCAUAAAGUCAGAAUACAUGCUUAUUCAUUGAUGGGCCUAAGUGGUCACAGAGAAAUUAGGGAAUAAGUAACUUGCUACCUUGCUGUCCUACCAUAGAAAACAGGACAAAAGUGAGCAUUUUAGUUGAUUGAAGGUAAGAGAGUAGGCUUUCUAGGUUCUUCCUAGGGAUUAGAGAAUAGGGUUUGAUGUUAGGAAGACGGUUCUUAUGGUUUAAGGUUAAAGUUGUGGGUUCAAUAUUGACUUAAGAUCAAACUUUAAACCACUCUACAUAUUUUGCUGUAUAAAUAGGGAUUUGAUAAAGAAAAAAGAGAGACAAUAAAUUAAAUUGAUUUGGAGAAGAGUAGAGAAAGAAGAUAUAUAGAGAGGUGUUGAGAGAAAACACUUUCUUAAUAAGUGAAAACCAAAUGAUUAAAUAUAUUAUGAAAAGAUGACCUGGGGCCCAAGUAACUUGAUGACCAAGGAAGGCCCAAGUUCAGGGCUAAGCAACCCAAGAACCAUGACUAAUAAAAGAACAAACAAUUACAGACCUAAUACAUAAACAAAUUUGAACCAUAUGAAAAUUUUCAUGUUUAGCUAUACUCCAUUGAGACCCCAAGUAAUUGGAUGAGGGCUUGAAUAAUUAGAAUAAAAAUCGUGACUUAUGAUCCUAGCCUUUGGCUUCACGUUUUAUAGAAUUUUAUAACCAUUUUUGGUGUAUCAUAUAAAAAUGAAAGUACCAAUAGUGGAUUUUAAGAUUCCUUGGAUUGGUGAGAAUUCCCAAAUCAUUCUUGUUGAACAAAUGCGAUACUGUAAUUCAAUAUUAUAAUGGCAGCAAAACAUCAUCAAUAAUUCUUAAUUUUGUUUUUUUUGAUGCAUAUCAUUUUUUCUCCUCUUGCUUGUAUAAAUUGACCUCCAUAAAUGUAGUGUUAGUUCCCAUUUCAGACUACGGUGCUAUAUAUCUAGUUACUCUCAAUGUUACAUGUAUCUCAUCAUCUCUACCACUUGCCUUCCUACAACCUCCCUAUAUCUUGACCUGAAACAUCACUAACACCUUCAAACAUGUGGGCGCAUAAUGUGUGUGUUAGAUACUGUACUCUAACUCUGUUUCCCUAGAUGUAUAAGUUGACCUCCAUAAAUGUAGUGUUAGUUCCCAUUUCAGACUUCGGUGCUAUAUAUCCAGUUACUCUCAAUGUUACAUAGUCUCUUCAUCUCUACUACUUGCCUUCCUACAACCUACCUAUAUCUUGACCUGAAACAUCACUAACACCUUCAAACAUGUGGGCACAUAAUGUGUGUAUGUUAGAUACCAUACUCCAACUCUGUUUCCCUAGAUGCAUGUCUACCAUAGCAUGUAGAACAUUUACAAAACUAAGCAUAUAACUUCCUCCAACUCUGCCCACCUACCUACCUCUAUGCAUACACAAUUAUGGAAACACUUGCCUAUCUAUACACAAGCAGCCAAAUGCAAAUAUGUGUGUAUGGUUAGAUGUAUAUCUACAUCAAUACUUGUGUAUGUAUGUAACAUAUAUGCCCUCCAAUUCGAGUUGGGCACCUAGUACAUGUAGACAGCUGUCUAGCUAGCUUGCGAGCUGGCUAUGCACACAUGCAUGUACACACAAACACAUAUAAAUGCACACUAGCAAUUGGGCAUGUGCAAUGCACAUUUUCUAGAAAAAAAAUAAUGACUUCCAAACUAAAGAUAACAGAUUAAAAAUUUUAAACUAAAUAAUCAAAGAAAAACAGUUAGAUAAAUCUAACGUAAAAUAAAUAUUAUAACACAACAUAGAAAGUAGAAUAUAAAAAAUAGAGAACAAAAUAUUAAUAACAGGCUAGGAAUGAUGAAACAUAUUAAGUAAUUGAAAAGGAAAAUGUAAGAAGCCUAUAAAACUGAAAAUACAAAAUAAAAACAAUCAUAAAUGGAAAUAAAAUUUAAAAAAGGAAAAUAGCUGAAAAAUAAAACUGAAAAUGCAAAACAAAAUCUAAAAAGCAAGUAAACAAGUCAAAAAAGAAAAUUACAGAAUGAAUUUGGAAAAAUAAAUAACAGACACAAAACAAAAAUUUAAAUAACAUUAACAAAAUCAAAUUAUAAACUAUAAGAAAUUAAGUAAAAUAAAAAUAUAAGAUUAAUUGAAGUAGAAAAAAGGAAUGGAAUAAAUAAAAUAAUGAAAUACAAGACUAAAUAAUAAAACUAAAAGACACAAGACAAGAUAAAUAGAACUAGAAAAUUCAAACUAAAAAUACAAAAUAGAAAGUGAAAAUAAGAAAGAACAAACAAAAUUACUCACUUAACAUACAAGAUAUAAAAUCAAAUUAAUAUCAUAUUUAAUACAACAUGU
rnacentral:lncRNA from 1 species